GUUAUUGGGUGUACAUGUGUACACCCAUGUCCUACAUUGGGUCCGCCCCCGAGCCUUCUGAUCUUAACAGGAAACCUGCAAAAAAUCAGACUCGACAAUGGGCUGCGUGGACACACCAAGAGGAGGAGAUUUUUUUCAAUGCGCUGCGGCAAGUAGGAAAAAACUUUGACAAGAUUACACACCGUGUUCAGAGUAAAAACAAGGAUCAGGUAUUUAUUUCUCAACCAAGAUG